ensembl:lncRNA
GGGCGGAGCCGGGCAGCGCUGCGCAUGCGCACUGGCUUUACGCGCGCAGUGCGGUGCUCGGCGGGCGCCGUUCCGCGGGGCCGGCCCGGCCGUGCGGGGCCGCCGCGGUGCCCCGGAGCGGCUUGGAAGCGCCAGGCGCGGGUCCCGGCCGCGGCAGCGGCGGGCGAGGGUUGUGCUGACAAUGGAGGAGGGCGGCUGUUGCUGUGGCUGCAGCGAGGUUGAAGGAGCACUCGUGAGAAGUUUCCCAUUUGGAAUUGGGCUCCUGAAGAAAGGAACCUGAAACUGCUGUUUCUGAUAAAUCCCCCAGGGAAAAGCUGGAGAAAAGGUGGAGAGAGUGGCAAGCGGGAAUCCCAUGUUUAGAUCUGCCCUUGGAUUCCAGUUCCUCCUGGGGGGUCUGUGCUGCCCAAAGAACAAAGGAAGGAGAUGUUGGAGUACCUGUUUGUUCCCCUGUUGAGCUUGGAAGAGAUGCUGAGGGUGAAAUUCCAGGGAAGCUGCGCUUGCAGAGCGACUGGAGUGUGAAGCAGUGGCAGCUGUUUGCCGUGGACCGGUUUCCCUCCUUCACUUCGGUUCCCUGGUAUAACAGCUGGGGAUGGGGUCAGCGGCUCUGACCCAGGAAGAGGUGACCGGUCCGGGGAGAUGGUCCCGAAAGGAAUCGCCUUCCCGAGGGCCGGUGUCUUCCCUCAGCCGGUGGCAGGAGGGCCCUUGCAGAGACUGUCAGCUCUUUAGUGAUGAUCAGCUCGUGAUUCCAGCUCAGCUCUGCAGGGCAGCCUCCAGGCCAAGCCAGACCAGAGAGAGAGACGAUGGCUGGUUCCGCACAGAGGGAGUUCUGCUGGGCGAUUGCGAAAUCUCUUAUUUCAGCAGAGAUCCCUCCAGGGGAGUGGCUGGGCAUACCCCACACCCUGGCACUCCAGGUCCCCGAGGCGGCUUCGGAUCUCCGCGGUCACCGACGCUGCCGAUUUUCCCGGCGCGCGCCGUUCGACGUCGAGGAGCGGCAUCCAGAAGCUGUGUCGGAGCAUCUUCCUGGCUGGAAUGUUUUGACAAAGACCAUCCAGAACUGCCACCUCACCCUCACGGACAGCAGGAAUGUCUUCCAUAGCUCGUUUCGGAAAGGGAAUGGCUGUUGGGAGCUCUGGCAGGACCAGAGCCCAGCUGCGGGGUCCUCACCGGGGGGAGGAAGCUCAUCCACAGCAGAAGGGGUGACAUGGCCCAGCACAGGGGCCCCCAGACCCUGCAGCAGAGCACCAGAGAUGAUGCAACAGACCCUCAGUGUUGCAAGGGACAGUGUCAAGCCGGCCCCUGCAAGAGAGGCACGUGGGCGUUCCCGCCUGGCCCAAAGUGUGCAUUAACCCACGGAGUUCUGCACCCUUCGGCUGUGGCAGCAUGUGGCGGCGUGGCCACGGCGCCCACGGGGGACCCUCACCGCCGGCAGAGCGGAUGGAGGGGAGCAACGAGACGUCGUUGGCACCCUCAGAUGGGUGAUGGGCUUCCAUCCAACCCCUCUCCCUGUUCCCCCACGCACCCUUCUGUUUUCUAUUUCUUUCUCUCUCUUCCCUUCUCUUUGCCUCUCUACUAUUAAAUAAAAUACAUCCAUUUUUUUGGCAACAACAUCUAGCCUCGUUUGGUUUUAAUCUCGUUUCUGGGGAUAUUUUGAACCUUCUAAGUUCUUUCUGGUUUAUGCACAGAGACUGAGCUUGCUUUGCUUUUCUGGGUUUAAACCGGAUCGUAACAGGGCGGGUGUGGAGGAGUUUUUCUCCCUCUCCUGUUCAUUAGUGUUACCACUGCUCUUGUUGCUCUCACUAUGUGUUGUCAUUAAUCUCAAAUGAUUGUAUUUGGUUUCCAUUCUUAAACUGUUCUGAGCUGGAAUUUUGUCUCUUCCCC